rnacentral:rRNA from 1 species
UACAGAGGGUGCGAGCGUUAAUCGGAAUUACUGGGCGUAAAGCGUGCGUAGACGGCUAUCUAAGUCGGGUGUGAAAGCCCCGGGCUCAACCUGGGAAUUGCAUUCGAGACUGAAUAGCUAGGGUACGGUAGAGGGAAGCGGAAUUUCCGGUGUAGCGGUGAAAUGCGUAGAUAUCGGAAGGAACAUCAGUGGCGAAGGCGGCUUCCUGGACCAGUACCGACGUUCAGGCACGAAAGCGUGGGGAGCAAACAGG